ACUCUGUCUCAAAAAAAUAAAUAAAUAAAUAAAUAAAAUAAGGCAUUAUUGGUAGACCCCAAGGCAACACUAAGAAAAUAACUUUUAAAAAAUGUACUAAAAGAAAUGGGAAAGGAAUUAAAAUGGUAAACUACUAAAUUUUUUGAACAAAACAGGAGACAGCAGUGGAGGAACAAAGAAGAUAAGACAUACAGAAAACAAAGAGCAAAAAAGGAGAGGGAAUAUGUGAAUAUAAUGAAUAACAUUUUGUCAGUAAAUCAACUUACAUGAAAUGGACAAAUUCCUGGAAGAUAAAAACUACCAAAACUGACUCAAGAAUAAAUAGGCAAUCUGAAUAGACUCAUAGUAAGUGAUAAGAUUCAAUUAGUAAUUUGUAAAAACUACCUACACAGAAAAGUCCAGGCCCAGAUGACUUCACCAUUGAACUCUACUAAACAUUUAAAGAAGAAUUAGCCUGGGUGCAGUGGCUUAUGCCUGCAAUCCUAGCACUUUGGGAGGCCAAGGCAAGUGCAUCACUUGAGCUCAGGAGUUCGAGACCAGCCUGGGCAACAUGGCGAAAUCCCUUCUCUACAAAAAAAAAAAUUAAAAAAUUAGCCAGGCAUGGUGGUGUACACCUGUAGUCCCAGCUACUGAGGAGGCUGAGACAGGAAGAUUGCUUGAGCCCAGGAGGUCAAGGCUGCAGUGAGCCAUGAUCACACUACUGCACUCCUGCCUGGGCAACAGAGUGAGACCCUGUCUCAAAAAGAAGGAGAAGGGAGGAGAAGGAGAAGGGAGAAAGAGGGAGAAGAAGAAGAGGAGAAGGAGGAGGAAGAGGAAGGAGGGAGGAGGAGGGAGGGUGGAGGAGGGAGACGGAAAAGACGGAAGAGAAGGAGGAGAAGGAAAGGAAGGAAGGAAGGAAGGAAGAGAAAGAGAAGAAAAAGAAGAAUGAUUAGUGCCAAUUCUUCAUGAAUUCUUCCCAAAAAUAGAAGAAGGCACUUCCCAUCACAUUUUAUGAGGUCAGAAUUACCCUGAUGCUCAAACUGACCAAAGACAACAUGAGAAAACUACAGACCAAUAUCUUUCAUGAAUAUGGAAGCAAAUGUUCUCAACAAAAUACUAGCAAACCAAAUCCAGCAACAUAUGAAAAGAAUUAUACACCAGGACCAAGCAGGAUUUAUCCUGGGAAUGCAAAGAUGGUUUAACACCUGAAAAUUAAUGUAAUACAUCAUAUGAAUAGGACAGAAACUCAAAAAUGCUAUGAGUAUCUCAAUAGUUGUAGAAAAAGCAUUUGCCAAAAUGAAAUACCCUUUCAUAAUAAAAAAAAAAACCAACAAACUAGAGGCAGAGUGAAAUCUCAACAUGACAAAGGGUACCUACAGAAAAAAACCCAUAGUUAACGUCAUACUAAAUGGCAAAAGACUAGAAGCUUUCCCCCAGUUAUGGUCUGAAUGUUUGUGUCCCCCACAAGUUCGUAUGUUGAAACCUAAUCCCCAGUGGAAUAGUAUUAAGAGGUGCGACCUACCUAUGUAACAAACCUGCACGUUCUGCACAUGUAUCCAAGAACUUAAAGUAUAAUUAAAAAUAAAAAGAGGUGCAACCUAUAGAAAGUGAUUAUGUCAUGAUGGCAUCAUCCUCAUGAAUUUGAUUACUGCCCUUAUCAAAGAGGCCCAAGAGAGCUUGUUUGCCCCUUCUGCCAUGUGAGGAUUCAAUAAGAAGUUGCCAUCUAUGAGGCACAGACCAAACUCUUACCAGACAUUGAAUCUACUGGCACCUUGAUCUUGGACUUCCUAGCCCCCAGAGCUGUGAGCAAUAAAUUUGUGUUGUUAAUAAGUUACCCAGUCCAAGAUAUUUUGUUAUAACAGGCCGAACAGACUAAGACACCCCCUAAGAUCUGGAAAAGACAGGAAUGUCCUCUCUCACCACUUCUGUUCAACAUUGUAUUGGAGCUUCUAGCCAGGGAAAUCAGAAAAGAAAGAAAGAAAGAGAGAGAGAAAGGGAAAUAAAAGUUAUUGAAAUGGAAAAAUAAAAAUAUCUCUAUUUGCAGAUUUAAUGAUCUUGUAUAUAAAAAUCUCUAAGGAAUCCACUAAAAAACUAUUAGAACAACAAUGAGUUCUGUAAGGUUUCAGGAUACAAGAUUGACAUAUGAAAAUCAAUCAUAUUUCUUAAGCUUGCAAUGAAUAAUCCAAAAAUGAAAGUACGAAACCCAUUUACAAUAGCAUCAAAAAGAACAAAAUACAGUGGCUCAUGCCUGUAAUCCUAACACUUUGGGAGGCUGAGGCAGAAGGAUCGCUUGAGGCCAGGAGUUCAGAAUCAGCCUGGACAAUAUAGGGAGACCCUACUAAAGAUUAAAAGAAUUACUCGGCAUUUUGGGAAGCCAAGGCGGGCAGAUCACUUGAGGUAAGGAGUUU
rnacentral:lncRNA from 10 species